GUGUCAGCCGCCGCGGUAAUACGAAGGGUGCAAGCGUUAAUCGGAAUUACUGGGCGUAAAGGGUGCGUAGGCGGUUCGUUAAGUCUGUUGUGAAAUCCCCGGGCUCAACCUGGGAAUGGCAAUGGAUACUGGCGAGCUAGAGUGUGAUAGAGGAUGGUGGAAUUCCCGGUGUAGCGGUGAAAUGCGUAGAGAUCGGGAGGAACAUCAGUGGCGAAGGCGGCCAUCUGGAUCAACACUGACGCUGAAGCACGAAAGCGUGGGGAGCAAACAGGAUUAGAUACCCUGGUAGUCC
rnacentral:rRNA from 1 species